rnacentral:lncRNA from 1 species
UCACAUAUACAUGGGCACAGACCCCUUGAGGGUUUGUGACAACCCUUAGGACACCUAGCUACAGUUUGAAAUAUCCACCACUAGAUGGCACUAUUUUAAUGAUACAGUAAAGCCUUUUAUCUGAUGCGGCCGCUGUCACAGGCGAGGUUGAUGCAAAAUGUACAUUCCAAAAGUCAAAUGUUCCUAUCCUGCUGCUGCUUACCAUCUAUAACGCUUAAUGUGAUCCUCGUCAGAGGGGAACGACUUCCAAUCAGUUCUCAAGUCUCCAACCUCACUGGUACUGCUGCCCAAAGCGCCAUUGGAAUGUUGGGUGUUUUCAAUAACCUGUGUCAUUUGUUAGAUUUGUUAUCGUUACAGUUGUUUUCAGUCUCAUAUUGAAGGACUUCAAUGACACCCCUGCGGACAGCCCUAGACACGACUGCAUAAGCGGACACCUGCUGGAGUGUUGGUGAAGGUCUGGGUUUGCCUCCUGGGCCAUGGACACGCCUGCUGAUGAUACUGAGGCUUCAUGGUGGCAAUGUUACAUUAGUGAGCAUGAGCAGUCUUCCAGGACAUAGAACCGAAAACAGGUUCCUGAGACAGAUGAGGAGUGGGAAGGUGGCUGAAAGUCAAGGAGCCGACGCCUCCGGGGACCCCCUAACCCAUUCGUCAGGGCAGAAAAGCUCCUCUAUUCAAGUGUUAGAAACCCAUUCUCCUAGUAAAAAGACAAAAAUAAUCAAUUGCUAGUGAUCUCUCAUGCCUCCCUCCCUCCUCUCUCAAUAGACAAAGAUAAUAGACAAGGGGCAAGUGAUAGAGGUGAUAGGUCAUUGUAGCACAGCACACGUCUGCUUAUUUAUGUUUCGUACUCUUCUAAGUGGGAUUGAUUCUGCGAAAUAACUUUUCAUUUUGACAUCACAAGGGCAACUGAGCUCUAGGUUCUUGAAGUAGCCACCCCCCCAGCCCCACCCACAGUGCUGCCCACAGUCACGGCCCCGCCCACAGCCCCAGUAUGGCCCCGCCCACAACCCAGCCCCAGUUUGGCUCCACCCACUGCUCUGCCCAGACCCUGCCCACAGACCCCACCACCAGCUCCAUCCAGCACACCCUCCAGUUCAAGUGCUUGCUUGUGUGCUUGUGGCCGCCUGCCUGCCUGCCUGCCAUGGCCCUGAGCCUGUCUCUCCCAGCAUCCGUUCUGUCCUCCUACUCCCAGCUGCUCACAUGGCCGCUGGUGCAUCUGAGAACACAGUGAGGAACACGUGCUCUGGGGAGUGAACACUGUGACUGUGUCUUUUGAACCCUCUCACAGCACAGCUCAGAGUGUAAAUUGGUUACCUGGCAUGUUGUUUUGAACUUGACUCCACAUAAAGAGAUGUUUAUUUCCAGACUGUCUCUAGCUCCGAAGAAGGAAGUGAAGACACAUUUAAGGCCUCCAGCAUUUACCCCCUUGUGCCCCAAUCCUCUAUCUCCGGAAAUCAGGAACAGGGAGGGUUUUGCAAACAAGUUACAGGGCCGUUCAUUCUUGCAGAGAACCGUGCAGCAAGUAGCACCUAAGGUAUUCUAAGCUCUGCUUUAUAGAUGUCAUGUAUUCUGGCUGUUUUUGUGUGUCAACUUGACACAAGCUGGAGUUAUCACAGAGAAAGGAGCCUCCUUUGAGGAAAUGCCUACAUGAGAUCCAGCUGUAAGGCAUUUUCUCAAUUAGUGAUCAAGGUUGGGAGGGCCCAUUUUGGGUGGUGCCAUCCCUGGGCUGGUAGUCCUAGCUUC